rnacentral:rRNA from 1 species
GAAUAUUGGACAAUGGGCGAAAGCCUGAUCCAGCAACGCCGCGUGGAGGAUGAAGGCCUUCGGGUUGUAAACUCCUGUCAGUAGGGACGAACGGGACGGGGUCAAUACCCCCGGCUCUUGACGGUACCUGCAGAGGAAGCCCCGGCUAACCCCGUGCCAGCAGCCGCGGUAAUACGGCGGGGGCAAGCGUUAUUCGGAAUUAUUGGGCGUAAAGGGCGCGUAGGCGGCCCUACAAGUCAGGGGUGAAAUCCCUCGGCUCAACCGAGGAAUUGCCUCUGAAACUGUAGGGCUUGAGUCCGGGAGAGGGUGGUGGAAUUCCCAGUGUAGCGGUGAUAUGCGUAGAUACUGGGAGGAACACCGGUGGCGAAGGCGGCCACCUGGACCGGUACUGACGCUGAGGCGCGAAAGCGUGGGGAGCAAACAGG